rnacentral:rRNA from 1 species
UACGUAGGGGGCAAGCGUUGUCCGGAUUUAUUGGGCGUAAAGAGCGUGUAGGCGGUUUGGUAGGUCCGCUGUGAAAACUCGAGGCUCAACCUCGAGACGCCGGUGGAAACCAUCAGACUAGAGUCCGGAAGAGGAGAGUGGAAUUCCUGGUGUAGCGGUGAAAUGCGCAGAUAUCAGGAAGAACACCCGUGGCUAAGGCGGCUCGCUGGGACGGUACUGACGCUAAGGCGCGAAAGCGUGGGGAGCGAACAGG